UGAACGCUGGCGGCGUGCCUAACACAUGCAAGUCGAACGAGAAAGUCCCCUUCGGGGGAUGAGUAAAGUGGCAGACGGGUGAGUAACACGUGGGCAACCUGCCCGGAGGUGGGGGAUAACCCUUCGAAAGGAGGGCUAAUACCGCAUGAUAUCUCGAGCACUUAGGGGUUCGAGAUCAAAGCCAGCCUCUGCUUGCACGCUGGCGCCACCGGAGGGACCCGCGCCCCAUUAGCUUGUUGGUGAGGUAACGGCUCACCAAGGCCGCGAUGGGUAGCCGGCCUGAGAGGGUGAUCGGCCACACUGGAACUGAGAUACGGUCCAGACUCCUACGGGAGGCAGCAGUGAGGAAUUUUGCGCAAUGGGCGAAAGCCUGACGCAGCGACGCCGCGUGGAGGACGAAGGCCUUCGGGUCGUAAACUCCUGUCAGGCGGGACGAAUCCUGCGGGGAUGAAUAAGCCCCGCAGUUGACGGUACCGCUGGAGGAAGCCCCGGCUAACUCC
rnacentral:rRNA from 1 species